rnacentral:rRNA from 1 species
UCUACGGGAGGCAGCAGUGGGGAAUAUUGCGCAAUGGGCGAAAGCCUGACGCAGCGACGCCGCGUGAGGGAUGAAGGUCUUCGGAUCGUAAACCUCUGUCAGCAGGGAAGAACGGUCACUGUGCUAAUCAGCAGUGAAUUGACGGUACCUGCAAAGGAAGCACCGGCUAACUCCGUGCCAGCAGCCGCGGUAAUACGGAGGGUGCGAGCGUUAGUCGGAAUUACUGGGCGUAAAGCGCUCGUAGGCGGUAUGUCAAGUCAAGGGUGAAAUCCCCGCGCUCAACGUGGGAACUGCCUUUGAAACUGGCAAACUGGAGUGUGUGAGAGGAUAGUGGAAUUCCAGGUGUAGGAGUGAAAUCCGUAGAUAUCUGGAGGAACAUCAGUGGCGAAGGCGACUAUCUGGCACAUAACUGACGCUGAGGAGCGAAAGCGUGGGUAGCAAACAGGAUUAGAUACCCGAGUAGUC